CUCAGUUGGUAGAGUGACAGGCUCUUAACCUGCUAGUCAUGGGUUCGUGCCCCAU
rnacentral:tRNA from 1 species